AGCUGUGGUAUUUAUAUGGCUCUUGUUUAUCUCACUUUGCAGAUAUGGUUCAAAGUUCAGGGAGCUUUUUCUGAACGACCCUGCAAGCAAAGGAAACCCCUUAAGCAAAAGGUGUCGGGGACCAUUCUCAGUGCUGGCAAAAUCCUGUAAGGUUGGCUGGAAGUAUUUGGUGUGCACCACAUCCACCAAUUCUUGCAUGAGCACAGAAGCAGUCAACAAAAAUGAAGCAGGUACAGCUCUAUUAAUAGGGCCAAUAAAAGUAAUGCAUCUCAGUGAUGCCUGACAGUUGUUCUCUUGCCAGUUAUAGCAACACAGGUGGAGACACUCUCAGAGGAAGAGCAUCUCCAUUUCCUUUUCCUUUUCUUUGUAGAGAGGAUGUGGACAAGGUUUGAUUAACAAGUGCUGAACCAAUAAACUAUAGGUAAUAUCACUGAGUGCUGCUAUGACAUGCAGCUCACAAGUACUGAAGAACCAGAGCUCAGGCAGAGUAAACUGAGCUGAAGCAACUGUUGUAUAAAACAAGUACCUUGCUGUGGAAAUCACACUGAAGAUGGAAAUGGACAGUGGUCACUAUGGAAAAGUGAGACUUGAGUGUAUACUGGAAACUGAUUUACAAGUAAACAGAUGUGGCUCGGCCGGGAGAUGGGCCAUUGUCUGCUGAUCGUCUGUGCUGAUCGUCCAAGAUGGAUAUCAUGGAAAUACUCAGACAGAUCCAUGUGAAAGAAGCCUUCCCGUAAACGCCCAACAUUGAAUUUUUCUCCUCGUCACCAAAAAGAAAUCCUUAUUAACAUAUGGACUCCGAAUAGAAGAAAGGACUGAUUGCUAAAACCUUGGCCUCAGGCAGAAUUUUCCCUAUAAAAACCGCCUGUGCCAGGAUGGAGAGAUGCAGCUGUUGAAAGUAACAAUGACCAGAGACACCAUAUCUAACGAAUAUAAUAGUUGUACCUUGACACUGGCAGUCUUCCUGUUCACCCUACAGCUUUGGAUUCCCAGUCUUUGGAAAAAGCAAAAUUAGAGUAGAGUAGAAGUGCAACUGCAUUCCAGAAAAAAAGGAUGCAGAAUGCAAUGCAGAGGAAAUAACUAAGUAUUUGAAAGAAAGAGAAAUGAGAGAAGAUUUGAGGACAUUUUGUCUGAGGACACAUUUGGAAGUAACCUGCACAAGCCGUCACACUACUACAUAUCACUACAAAUAGCAAAGAGAUGGGAAAAUCUGCCCUGCAAGAUUCAAGCAGCCACUGUUGGUUGUUUUUAUAAAAUUACCAUGAUUUCUUAAGUUCACAUAUAAUUGGAUGGAAUUCUUGUUCUUACCUGAUCUGAGAAUUCACACUGGACAGGCUCCAUAUCAUGUUGUCUAAUUAAAGGUAGUAACAGCA